rnacentral:rRNA from 1 species
UUUCGCAAUGCCCGAAAGGGUGACGAAGCGACGCCGCGUGUGGGAAGAAGGCCUUCGGGUUGUAAACCACUGUCGGGAGUUAAGAAAUACAAGGAUAUUAUUAGUGUCUUUGUUUGACUAAGGCUCCGGAGGAAGCCACGGCUAACUCCGUGCCAGCAGCCGCGGUAAUACAGAGGCGGCAAGCGUUGUUCGGAAUUAUUGGGCGUAAAGAGCACGUAGGCGGCUAUGUAAGUCGGUUGUGAAAGCCUUCCGCUCAACGGAAGAAUAGCAUCCGAUACUACAUGGCUUGAGUGCGGGAGGGGAGAGUGGAACUUCUGGUGGAGCGGUGAAAUGCGUAGAUAUCAGAAGGAACGCCGGCGGCGAAAGCGGCUCUCUGGCCCAUAACUGACGCUGAGUGUGCGAAAGCUAGGGGAGCAAACGGGAUUAGAUACCCCGGUAGUCCUAGCCGUAAACGAUGGGCACUAAGUAGAGGGGUUUU